AGGCAGUGCACAGACUUCUAACGCGCAGUCCAACGUGACAGGGACCCUGCCUGAGAUGUACACAGCCUCACAGGGCCGAAGCCAACUCACAGUGAGGUGACGGACACAGUUUGGUCCUCUGGAGCUGCCCUUGUAGGUGAUCUCCGAGUAUUGAAAGGAUCAGCAACGAAGCACUGAGCUUUUUGGAUUGCAGGUGCCAUCCAGGUAACCUUUGGGAGCAGAGGAGCAUUGGAGGUAUCCCAGAAGAUGACAGCACGUUGUCCAAGUCUGG